rnacentral:lncRNA from 1 species
AUGGCUAGAAACAUCCCCUGGAGAUGCAAGGCGCCCAGGGCUCCUGGUAAAGAGCACAGCCAGGGAGGAAGUGCCCUGAGGCUGCUGGGCGAGCCGGAAGUGGGAGCUGUUUCUAGCACAGAGGAUGUGGCUCAAGACAAGCCUGGAGGUGGUGGCGUGGCUGAG